GACGUAGGGCGCGAGCGUUGUCCGGAUUUAUUGGGCGUAAAGAGCUCGUAGGCGGCUUGUCGCGUCGUCCGUGAAAACUUGGGGCUCAACCCCAAGCUUGCGGUCGAUACGGGCAGGCUCGAGUUCGGUAGGGGAGACUGGAAUUCCUAGUGUAGCGGUGAAAUGCGCAGAUAUCAGGAGGAACACCGGUGGCGAAGGCGGGUCUCUGGGCCGAUAUUGACGCUGAGGAGCGAAAGCGUGGGGAGCGAACAGG
rnacentral:rRNA from 1 species